rnacentral:rRNA from 1 species
GACGAACGCUGGCGGCGUGCUUAACACAUGCAAGUCGAGCGGUAAGGCCCUUCGGGGUACACGAGCGGCGAACGGGUGGGUAACACGUGGGUGACCUGCCCUCAGCUCUGGGAUAAGCCUGGGAAACCGGGUCUAAUACUGGAUAUGACUCCAUGACGCAUGUUGUGGGGUGGAAAGCCUUGUGCGGCUGAGGAUGGGCCCGCGGCCUAUCAGCUUGUUGGUGGGUGAUGGCCUACCAAGGCGA